GUUACUAUGCAUUUGAACCCCACCUAGAGCUUUUAGAAAAAGUUCUCAAAAUUUGAUCCCAGUGCUCUGAAUCCUAGACUAGUAAGAAUGUGCUCUGACCAUCAUUAGUGCCCUGGUGAAUCCUUGUUGAAUUUGCUGAGGCGGCCUCAAACUUGGAAUCCUGCUACCCCAGCUUCCCAAAUCGGGCAGGAGGCUUGUGCCACCAAGCCUAGCUCCAACCAGAUUGUUUUUAAUACUAAAUGUUUUAUUAGCCUGUGUGACCUCAGGAAUUUAGAAGAUUUAAAUCUAAAUAGGAAAAAAGAUCCCAGAACUGACUACAUUCUGUUUUCUACCUACAUUUCCACCCUCAGUGAUCUCAUCCAUUUCCAUGAGUGCAGGUAUCACCUAUGUACUGAAGACUCCCAGUUUUCUCCCCAAAGUGAUCUUCCUCUCCUAACCUCCUGGCUCAUUUAACUGCCUAUCUAACAUUCCACUCAGAUGUUUAAUAGUUUUUCUUAAUUUAGUAAACCACAAACAGCUUUGAUUUUCUUUCCCAAACUAUUCUCUCUAGUCCUCUGACUCAGAAAAAUGGUGCCACUACCCACCCAGAUGCUCAAGGCAAACCCUUAAAGUCAUCCAUUCCUUUUUAUCUCCCAAAUCUGUCAGCUCUACCACUGAAAUAUAUACAGAAUCAGUCCAUUUCUGUCUCCACUGGCCCUAGUCACUUGCCUCAUUCAUUAUUGCCCUGUCCUCCCACCUUUAGCAACAAUCUUUUGACAAAUUAGGAUUGUUUUAAGAACCGAAAUUAAGUCACUCCAAGUCAUCAUAUGCUUCCAUCACUGAGAAGGAAAAAAAAAAAAUCAAUCCUUCAUUAAACCUCCAGGAUUGGUAAAUAUCAUUUCCAAAUUGAUAAUAGCCCCAUUGAGGACAGAAGAAGACAGAACAUAAUUGUUCUACAUUGAAGCGAAUGUUCCCAUCCCAGAAUAUUGGCAUGGCUAAGUUUGUUUGUUGUUUUUUUAAUUUUCAAAGAAAUUGCAAGUCAAGAAUGUUUUUGUUUUUAGUGAAAUCUCAAAAACACCAUGUGGGCUGAAGGUGCUCUGUGGCCCUCACUUUGUGCUGCCUCUCCAACUGGAUCUGCUGUACUCUUCCUCUUUAUUCUCAUUGGCUAGCUUUCUAGUCCUCUAAUGUGCCAUUUCGGAUCUUGUGUCAUUGUCCUUCUCUACUUGGAACCUGACUUCAGGUAGCAUGACAAUCUUUGUCCCAAUGUCCCUUUCUGAGUUAAAAAGUCAUCCCCCACCUCCUGCCACUACCAUAUUAAUAAGUUCAU
rnacentral:lncRNA from 1 species